GACAGCUGGCUGCGGUGAGGGGACACUAUGUGACCAUAGAAUGCACAACUUCAACUGCCUCACCCUGGGGCCUUUACAUCUGUCUCCCUGGGAUCCCAGUUGAGCAGAUGGACUUCAGAGGCCCACGUGAGAAGUAGCCACAACUUGUUUGCCCUCUAAGGAGCCAGAGGAAGUCUUGUCCGGGACUGAGGGCUUGGCCAGAGCCAGUCCCUGCGAACUGCCCGGCGCGUCCUGCCUUGCCAGACCCUCUGCCCGGGGUCAUCCGCAGCCCGCGGGCGCCAUCGGCUCCAGGCACACAUCACCCGUGCUGGAACCCCAGCGUGUGGAGACCGGAGGCCAAAGAAACGAAACUCCCCACGCUGCGCCGUGGAGAAUAAUCACUGCCUUUUCAGAGGCCGACUUCGCCC
rnacentral:lncRNA from 1 species